AUGAAGGUGAUGAUUUCUCGGCUAAAGGAAGAGGGAAAUAAAGGGCACGUCAUGAAGUUUGGUGUCUCUUUUGAUGGUGCAGCAGGUUUGGUCAUAGAUAAUGUGGAUACAACAUAUAAACAUGGUGAAGAAAUUCAAGACAUAAGGGCAUCAAGCAUGAAGAUUAUUUUAAGAUGUUAUGGAAGCUUGAAGUUUGGAUUUGGCAACCUAAAUCAUGAAUUUCAUAAGUAUAGAAACUUAGAAUUCUUAUGUUGA